ensembl:lncRNA
UCUUUGUCUGUGCUAGACCUGGGCAAUAGGUGCUGUCCCUGGACCUGUCCUCUGUAUUGUGUGUCCCUUUCACUGAGCCCCUGGUGGCCAAGCUGCAUCCUGAUGUGGCCUCAGACCUGGCUGCCUGCCCCCUGCGGUGGGCAGAGACUCGGACUUCAAGCCCUGUUCUGCCCUCCUAGGACACCCAGGUGGUCUAACCCAGUGGUGGCUGUCCCCUGGCUUUGCCCAGAGACUGUUGGGAAGGACACAGCCCCCCGACCCUGCUUGGAUUGGGGGUGGAUUCAUCACAGACCCUGAGGGAGUUGGGGCCAGACAGUGGGACCUGGUGGCUUAUAGGAGGGUUGUGGUGUGUCAGGGAGCCAGACAGUCCCACCUCAGCCACUCUCCAGGGUGACUUAGGGUAAGUUCCUUGCCCUCUCUGAGCCACUGCUUUUUCAUCAGUGAAACAAGUUGUCACAGGACUGAGAAGAUGGACAUGUUGCAAACCAUGCUGGGUCUUCGUCGCGGUGCACAGGCCCUCCUCGCUGUGCCGGGGCUUUCUCUAGUUGCUGUGCUCGGGCUUCUCCUCGCGCUGCCUUCCUGGACUGCAGAGGCUGGAACAGUAAAAACCACGUGUUCCAGGCAUUCCUCCCACAGUUGCAAUCACGCGAGACUUACAUUUGGAGCUGAGUGAAAUGGUGGCUCUCCAGGCAUCCCUUCGGCCACCGUGGUUCUGGCAGGUAUGGUGUGGUUCUGGCGGGUAUGGUGUGGCUCUGGAACUCCUGCACCGCAGAGGCUUCCCCGUCUCCAGGUUGCACUUGAACGGCUGUGAGUGCACUGCCUGUAAUACGCUGCCCCAAUUAGACCUUGCAGGCAUCCUGCAUUUAUAAAAAUCCCAGCAGAGACUGUUGCCUCAUCCUCCACAAAGCUGUUACUCUUGGGAUCCCUGAUUCUGCCACAACCUACCACCCACAGGUUACCAAGACAGUUCACUUAUCCCUCCAUCACCCAUUCUUCUAUCCAUCUAUCCAGCCAUCCAUUUGUUCAUUUGCUCCUUCAAUACUCACUGAGCUCUUAUUUUUGUACCAGGCCCUAGAGCUGGGCCUGGGAACAGGGAGACAAACCAGACGUGCUGCCGACUACUUGGGUUGUCAAUGACUGUGGAAACAAAACAAAACAAAACACCUGAAACUUAGAGGUUUGCAACAAGAACAAUCAUUUAUUUCCUUACCAUUUUGCAAUUUGGUCAAGGCCUUGCAUGAGCCUCACACGUGGUGCAGUUCUGCGGGGUCAUUCUAGGAAAUCGGGAGAGGCUGGGAGUACUUGGGAGUGUUCCAUCAAGAAAGUGGCAGGGCAGGACUUCCCUGACGGUGCAGUGGCAAGAUUCCAGGCUUCCAGUGCAUUCUAUCAUGCCUGUGUGCUAAGUCACUUCAGUCGAGUCCAAUUCUUUGCGACUCUAUGGACGGUAGCCCGCCAGACUCCUCUGUCCAUGGGAUUCUCCAGGCAAGAAUACUGGAGUGAGUUGCCACACCCUCCUCCAAGGGAUCUUCCUGCUCCUGGGACUGAACCUGUGCUUCUUACAUCUCCUGCCUUGACAGAAUAAAUCCGUCUCCCUGGAGAGGAAAAUGGCAACCCACUCCAGUAUCCUUGCCUGGAAAAUCCCAUGGACAGAGGAACCUGGCAGGCUACAGUCCACAGGGACAAAGACUAACAUGAACGAGCAACUUGGCACACACACACUAUCAGUCUAGUUCAACCAGGGCAGUCUCAUCAGUGGUGAUACUGUUUGCUUGGGAAUCUACUUCCGUUCAGUGUGCGGCAAAAAGAGUCGGGCCUCCAUCCUUAAGCUCAGGACCUCUAAAAAUGAGAGUCAAGUUCAUUGCCAAUGUCAGCCCAGGGUGCUGAAUGCCACUAUACCGGAAGCACAAAAUAUCAUGGGAACACAUAGAAGGGCUCCCAUCCAACUCAAGAAGUUAAGCAAUGUUUACUGUGAUUAUAACUGAGAAGAAAGACAUUCCUUGGAGAAGGAAAGGACUUUGUGGACAAAAUUUAAAUGAAGGAAAGAGGAAGAGGGCAGAUACAUAAUUGGGGGAAACACAGAGGCAUGUGGGGGUCACAGAAGCUCAAGGAGAAGACUUUUAAGAAUCAAAGAGAUGGGGACGUCCCUGGCUGUCCUGUGAUUAAGACUGGAUACUUCUACUGCACGGUGCACGGAUCGGAUCCCUGGAGGAUCAAAGACCCCUCAUGCUAAUCGGUGCAGAAGGAAGGAAGGAGAGUUCGGUUGAGUCACCAAAGAACUGAAAGCGGCCCACUGGAUAUAGUCAUUAGAAAGUCAUAGAUGGUCUUAUAAGGGAGCCAGCUCAGUAACAGGCUACAGGUUAAACUGAUCAGGCCAACUCAGGUUAACAAGUGGUGAUAAAGGUGACUGAGGCUAACAGUAUGGGAAUUGAGUUUGACAGAUCCGGUGUCCAUCCCAGGACUUGCUAAAUCUCUAUACCUCAAUUUCCAACAUAUAAAAUGAGAAUGUAUAAAAUAAGAACACAUAAAAUGCACUGCAGGAGACAUAGGAGACGCGGUUAGAACCCUGGGUCGGGAAGAUCCCCUGCAAAAGGGCUUGGCAACCCACUCCAGUAUUCAUUCUUGCCUGGAGAAUCCCCUGGAUAGAGGAGCCUGGCGGGCUACAGCCCAUAGGUCGCAAAGAGUCGGACACGACUGAAGCAACUGAGAACACGGUACAAAACGAGACUAGCACCACUUAGCUUAUCAACUUCAGUGGUUGAUGAUUAAAUGCGAUGACGGAGGAACACGCAACGCACGGUGGGCGCAUUAACUCUAUUCUCUCAAUGAGCAGACUGGGUUGGCUGAUUGACAGCCAAGAUCUAGCGAUCUGUGGCAAC